rnacentral:lncRNA from 1 species
UUAAAACUUUCAGUUUGCUCAUUUUGUCUGUGAAAUCCGGUAAUGAGUACUGGUCAGACUGAAGAUUCAAAACCAGAACCUCAACUUCAUCAGGUUGCAUAUCACACCAAUCAGAAGAAAAUGAUUCAUCUGUAAAACAUCUUAUAUCAAAAUAAGCAUUGAAGGUGAUGUAUGACAAUUGACAAGUGAAUGAGUAUUACAUAUUGCCGCCUCUGUUACAAAAUAGUUGUCAUUUAAAGAUUUUAGUUUAUUUUAAUUUUUUGUCACUUCAGAAAAUAAAACAAAAACUAAUUGCUUGAGUUUUAUUUAACUUUAUUCUUAUCUUUUAAUACUUUCUAUCAAGUGAUGUGCAAGAACAUUGAUAGAGUGAACAUAUACUCCAGUCAAAUGAACUUAUAAACUUUGUGAAACCUUUGGCAAAAUCUUUUUAAGACAAUUACUUUGUAACAAAUGGAAUUCAUUUGCAAGUGUGCAUAUGAUUUAGACAUUGAAACAUACCAGUUGAAAUAGACAGUAUCCGGGCAGCAACCUUUAGUUGUUUCUGUUUUACGAACAUUCCGGCGAUGAAUGAGUACACUCGACUAAUGAUUCCUUGCUGAUUUGGUCCUAUCCACCAAUCAGGACGGUUAUCUCCAUUCAAGUCAAUGAUCAGUCUUUUUCUCUGUUCAAAUGAUUCCCCUUUGCUUUGAUGGAUUGCCAGUUCUCUGAGAAGAUCAUGCAUCAUGACAUAGUGGUUAUUGUAGUACAUGUCUGUUUCUGUUGCAACUUUCCUGUACAGCAAGCAUAAUUUAGUAACCGAGAGAAGAACCAAAACAAGGGUAAGACAAAUAAUCUAAUAUAUUUUAUAGAAUAGCUUCACUUAUUUGCUUUAUAAUGACAAGAACCAAAAAGAUAUUGAUUACCUUGUAGCUAUGACACUAAUCAAAUUUCUGGUGAUUAAAUCAUGGACAAUGGCCAUUGCAUUUGUACCAUCUUCAUCUAGGCCAUGCAAUUCUGCCCACAUAUCAAUGAGGACAGUAACAGGGAUCCUCUGGUCUUCUGGAAAUAGUCCCAUAUCCAUGAAGCACUCCUUCUCCUUGAUAUCUUCUAACAUAUCCAAACUUUGUUGAAGGUAACAUAGCAAGUCAGUGCUAUUAGACUCAAGAAUGGAUUGACUCUUUAAACGCUCCUUCAUUUUUUGCCACGUUACAAAAGGCUGCUUACGAAGUGAUCCCGCAAUGACCUGAAGCGCCAUCGGUGAACCCUUACAGGCUUUCACUAUCUGUGCAUAGAAGUAAAAUCAGUGAGUAACAUCAACGGUUUGGGUAACUAACUUGUAUGCAAUUGUAUACUAACAAGGGGCUGUUUGGGUUGACUUCAGUGGGCUUAUCUACUGGUAUAAUCACUUUUGAGACUGUUUGGAUUAACUUAUUCGAGCUUAUCUACUGGUAUAGUCCCUUUUGAAACUGUUUGUGAGAGGAUAUGAAAACAGCUUAUAGCAAUUAUAUGAAAACAAUUCAACUUUUUGUUAUCUUUUGUUAUAAAAAUAGACACUUAUACGAUAAUCGCUUAAUUAAGUUGUUUAUUCAGACAGAGCCCUAGUCAGUUGACAGCUUUGAAAACUAAUCAUGUAUUUCAUAAAUAAUUUGUUUAUAUCCCAUAGUAGAAGAUUUAACAUAACAAAUAAACCAUAAAUUUCUGUCUUGUCGGUCAACAUAUAAUUAUGUCUCAUCAGUGCAAUCAAAAUUUAGUUGGAAUGAAGAGAAAAAGUACCUCAUGGACAAGAUUUUUAUCAGGCAUUUUGUCAUUGGAUUGAGCAAAGUGAAGGAAAAGGGACACUGCAUGAUCAUGGUCAAGUGGAUCUAACUGGUAUGGGGUGCCAAAUCUUCUAAAUGCAACCCUUGAAGUCACCAAAAUCUUAUAAUCUGGCAUUUGGAAUUUGAACCUCUCAACAAGGCCUUCUGAGCCAGGCCAAACAUCAUCCAAGACUAAUAAUAUUGGAUUUCUCCCAACUUGCCUCAGCAGAAGUCCCAACCGGUUAAUGGCGUCUUCAUCAGUUUGAAACUCAGGCACCCGAAGCCCACAGUGUUCGAAUAGCGUUUGUACAAUGUUCUUCAAGUUGGGAGUUUUUGAGACGGUAACAAAGAAGAUGUUUCCACCAAACUUGCCUGUCAAAAUAAAAUAGCUUUCUAAAUCAAGGAGAAUGGACUAUAACAAAAUGAAGCAGAAUGGAAUACAAUGAAAUGAAAUAAAAUUGUUCGGAUAUUUUCUAUGAUUGAAUGCCAAAAAAGACGGGUAAGAAAGAGAUCAUAGAAUGAACAACAUAAUAUCCCAUUCUAUUCCAUCCAAUCUCAGUUAGACUAUAUCUUUGGAAUCACGUUGGGUUCCUGGUUAUGUUAGCCCAAUUGUAGUGGGAGGAAGUUAAUAUAAACUGGUCAUAAUCAAUCCAAACAAUGAAAGCUAAUGUAAUUCUAUUUCAUUUCAAUCCACCCAUAACAAGAGGUUUAAUGCUAAUUUAAAUUAAAUGCAUGUCAUGCAAGACUACUAACUAAACAAGCAAGUAAGUUCACAAGAAUGACGCUUGUUUAGAUAAACAACUUAAUUAAGUGCUUAUCAUAUAACAAAAAGUAAAGUAAAGUCAAACUAUUGUCAUAUAAACAGUAAGUUGUUUUCAAAAGAUUCAUGAAAAGGUCAUGUAAAUAAGCUAAAAAUACUUUAUGGACAUGGUAUAAGUUAUUUGUAUAAGCCCUUGUAAACGGUCUCAUGAAGUGUUUAUGCUAGCAGAUAAGCUUAAAUAAGUCAAUUCAAACAGACAACCCUAAAAGAGUUACAAUAAUUUAGUGAAAAAAAGAGAAGCAAUUAGUAGUUACUACCUUUGAUUUGUGGAUUCCAACAAAGCUUCUUAGCAAGAGUGCUUUUACCAGAUCCACCUAAACCAGUCAAAACAAGUACAGAAACACCAUCUUUCAAUAAUUGAAUCUUCAACUUAUUCAAAGGCUCAUCAACUCCCAUACACUGAGGCUCUUCAGGAGCACCACACAAUCCCCUAAUCUGACUUCCAUCAAACUGACCCAAAUUCUCCUUUCUCAUCAAAAUCUCAAAAAUCUUGGAAAUUUCAUCCACCUUAGCCACCAGCUUGAUCAAAUCUUUUUUAUUCUCAAGUUGAACAUUAACAGACAAAUGUCUCUGAAGUCCUUCAUCUUUCUUCUUAAGCUUUCCUUGGUAACCUGGAAAAGAAAGAAAGUUCCAUAAAGUAAGCUUCUUACUUUUUCUUACAAGCUCUUCACCUUCUCUUAUGUGUUUCUCUAAUCUUUCUAUCUCUUCACUUGGUCGAUCCAAGAAAUCGUUGUAAACUUUGAUUUCUUUAACCAAAGGAGCCAAAUUGUUCAAAGUUUCUAUGUUCCUUUCCAGAGUAGGACCAAAUUCUCGACCCUUUUUGAUUGUUUGAAGAGCUUUCUUCACCACCUCUCCCAUCACAGCUCCACUUAAUGCAUCCGCCAUAACUAGAACACAAGAUCAAAACUAUAUUGUGUUUGUAAGAACCAAAGUACCCUUGUGUUGUGGAAUUAACAUAACUUUUUUGUAGCAACAUUAAAACUAUGAUAAGAUAUUUAUAGCAGAAGAUAUCUUCGUUGACUUAUUAUUUUUUGGUCUUGUUAUUUUAUCAAAGGUAACGUAUAUGUGUUUUUUUUAAUACAAAAACACGUACAUACGUAUAUGGUUUGUAGUUACUUGGUACCUUGGUAGUUAUAGAGUCGUUGCUUCUAAUGGUUUGAUACCGCGUUUAAACUUAAAAAACUUUCUAUAAACAAAUCACAGAAAAAAAAAAUCUAUAAACAAAGAAAGAAUUUUUUUAUAUGCAUAUACGCUUUUUUUUUUUUUAGUUUUGUAUCUGCAUGCCUUAUAUUUAUAUGUUGCGUAACUUUUCUUUGAUUGAUCAUUUGUUAUAUUCAAUGUCAUACCUUCCAUUAACCUUUUGUUCUAUCUGGAAUGUAUAUGGUUAUCAUUAUUGUGUUACUUGGAUCUUUGAGAUUAGGACUUGGAUUUGGGAUAAGGCUAACAGUUUCUGAGUCUUGGAUGUUUGCGGUGCAAUUUAGUUCAGUUUUGAGGUUAAAAGUCAUUCGAACCACAACGUAAAAAAGCAUGCGGUUUAAUUUGGUUCGAUUAACUUUUAAUUUUCAAAUAAAAUCAAAAUCAAACCAAUGCGGUUUGGGUUGGAUUGGUUGAUGCGUUUUUUUUUUUAAGACAAUACAAUUUUUUGUUUUUAACGUUAAAAUUGAGUUAAAAAGCUAUAACACAAUAUAUUUUCAGCAAUGUUUUCAACAAUAUUUUAAAUUUCAUCCAACAUUACAAUUUUAUUUUCACCAAAUAAUAUAAGAGAAAUUAAAAACGUGAACAUAAAUUAAUUCUAUUAUAUAAGAAAUGUAAAACACUAAGAUUUUAUCAUUCUAUAAAAUUUUAAGUAGUGCAUAAAUAUACUUUUGAAAUAAAAAAAUAAAGAAGAAACUAAGAGAAAAAAAUAUCAAUUUUUAAAAGUUUUUAUGAGUAUCGGUUUUAUGUGACAUAGAUUCAAUUAACAUUUUUCUUAUUUUACGGUUUGGUUGGUAAAAUAAAAAACGCAAACCGAACCAAACCAUGUGGCUGAGUAAAAAUGUAAUAUGAAUACAUCAAAACCAAAUGCGUUUUUUUUUUUUUUUUUUUUUUUUUUUUUUUUUGUAGUUUGAGUUGGUUCAGUUUACGGUCUUUUUAUUGAAUUGGUUCGAUUUUGAAGACCCCUAGUCUCUAAUGAGAACUCUUUUGCUUAAUAAAAACAUCAACCUAUUAAGGAUUCCAUUAAAGGAAGGAAAAUGUUCAUAUUAUUUACUCAAAACCACAUAAGGAUUUUCUCUCUCUCUCUCUCCAACGAUUAUCGGUUCCACAAUUAAAAUAAGAAAGAAAUUAAAUAAAUGUUGGUCCGACCAUCAAAAACUCAUGCGAGUAUUACGUUUUUCAAUUUUUAUUUUCUAAAUGCACAUAUUAAGGUGAGACCUAGAUUUUUUUCUCUUGUUUAGGGGAUAUUUACCCUUUCAAGAUAUCAACCAAUCAAAAUGUAAUAUACAAAUGUAACAUUAAAUGUCAAAUAAAUGAGUCGCCUUUUUCUAUAAAAAAAAAUCAAUUUUAAUCCUAAGGUAACAUUUAAUUUAAUUAUAUAUUUAGGUAUUCAAUCUUAAUUAAUUUACACUAAAGGUCUUACUACAAUUAAAAUUUCACAUCAAAUUUAACCCAUCAUAUAACACAUUAGUCCUUUAUCUUUUUUUGUCCCAUUUAGGUCCUUUAUCUAUUAAAAUGUGCACAAAUUAAUCCUUUUCUUUAUUUUUCUAUUAAAAAAACAUGAAAAUAUUAAUUUUAUUGAUAACUUUGUUUUAUAAAAUAUUUUUUAAUAAAAAUAAAUAGAUUCAUAAACCCUAUGAACAUUUCAUCCUCAUAUUCAACAUCUUCAUCUUCUUCCUUAAAUAAAAAAAAUUUCCCAUCCAAAUAAACCUUCAAAUUCCUUAAAUAUUUCCACGUCCAUCUUCUUUUAAACACAAAAUUCAAAAUACUCAAAUUUUAUAAACCCUAAUUUUGCCAAAUCCAUAAAUCUGAAUUUCGGAUUUAAAGAAAGGAAUCGAGAAUUCAAAGUAUCGGGUUUCUUGUUUUCUAUGAAAUUUGAUUAUAUUGGUGUUUGAUGUGAACUUGACGAGGAUUUUGCAUAUGAGCUAGCUGUUUAACUUUUUAGAUUCUUAACCUUUUUGGAUUUUGGACUAGUGCUAUACGAUGGUAUAAACAAUUUCUUAUUGUUGCAGGAACCUCUCCUUCACUACCAUCAGAGAUAGGAAAGCUAUAGGGAAAGUGAUGAUUGUAUUCGAUGAGAAAAUUACAAGAUCUAAGCUGUGAUGAUCUUUACUAAAACUAUGCUUGAGCACUUAAACAAGAGAGGUUCCUAUCCAAAUUGUGAGAUUUUUUCUUUAAAUCCAAAAUCAAAAUUUAUGGGUUUGGUAAAAUUAGGGUUUAUGAAAUUUGGGGAUUUUGAAUUUUGUGUUUAGAAGAUGGAAGUGAAAAAUAUUUAAGGAAUUUUAAGGUUUAUUUGGAUGGACAGUUUUUUUGAUUUAAGGAAGAAGAUGAAGAUUAUGAAUAUUAGGAUGAAAUGUUUAUAGGGUUUAUGAAUUUAUUUAUUAAAAAGUAUUUUAUAAAACAAAGUUAUUAAUAAAAUUAAUAUUUUCAUGUUUUUUUAAUAGAAAAAUGAAGAAAAGGAUUAACUUGUGUACAUUUUAAUAGAUAAAGGAUUUAAAUGGGACAAAAAAAAUAUAAAGGAUUAAUGUGUUACAAAUUAAUAAGAUAAAUGACAUUUAGUGUAAUUUUGCCUAAAAUAAAUUGAUUCAUUUAUUUGACAUUUAAUGUUACAUUUUGUAUAUUACAUUUUGAUUGAUUGAUAUCUUGAAGGGAUAAAUACCCUCUAAACAAGAUAGGGUAAUGUAGAAAAAAUCACAUAUUAAAGUACAUAUUAUUAGAUUUAUUUAAAGUCUCUUUUUAGUUUAUUAUCAUUGGAGUUAUUGAGUCUUUAAUAUUUAUUUUGUUAGAAAAUUAUAAAUAAAUUACGUUUACGAUCCAUUUAAUGACUUUUUUAAGUUUACGUGGAUGCUCUUAAAAUCUUUGAUUUAGGGCUACCAACAAAAAAGAAUUUUAUAAGAAAAAAACCUCAUAAGCACUAAAUAAACCACAUAAAAAACUUUAUUGAGAGGAUAUAUAAAAACUUUUUUUUUAGGGAUAUAAAAAACUUCGUUUUAGGUUUAACUUAGUUUUGAAAUUUGAAAAUGAGCUGUGCUAUAUGGUGCGAAACCUGUUAGACGAAAAGUAACAAACACGGGCAAAAUUAAAUUUCUACGUGAAAUUUCUUGAUUUAUUUUGAAAAUAUAAGAUUAAAUUAAAUAUUAAAAAAUACACAAGCCUUAAUCCUUAAUGAUGUACAAUCCUUGCUCAAAAAGGCUGCACUCGGAUCCUAUUUUCUCUUCAAACGAAUGGGAAAACAUUGUUUUUAUUCCAGAAUAAUAUACAAAUGGAGUGAUCUUUUUGUCCAACACAAACUCAUACUUUGUUCACUACAGUAUGGACAAGAUUUUUGUAACAGGAAAACAUACACAAGUUUACAAGUUUCAGCACGACUUCAAGUCACUUUUUCUUCAUGAAACAAUACUCAGGAACGAAUUCCAUGAAGCCAAAUUAAGUUAUGCUCUACUUUAGGCAUAUAUAUCUUUAGCUUUGGAAUGUUGGAAAGAUGUUCCCAUAAGGCAGAACCUUCUUCAUCACAGAUCACUUGCAUUUCAUGCUUUAAGUUUCCAAAAUUGAUCACAGAAUCAGGCAACUCACUCAAGUUUGAGCAACCCUUCAUGUAGAGCUUCUCAAGCUUUUGCAAGUUCCCAAUAUUAUUUGGUAAUAUGUGAAGAGUCACACAGUCUGAGAUGUCGAGACAACGUAGUUUGUUAAGGUCUGCAACGGAUUCUGGAAUCUCUUUUAAAUCAGAACAGGAACAAAGCCUUAGCACUUCCAAAUUCACCAACUUCCCAAUAUCUUGAGGCAUUGCAGAAAACUUGUGGCAGUUUGUGAUACUGAGCUUCUUCAAUGUGGUAAUUUUACAAAAUUCACCAGGCAGUUUAAUCAAAUCGUUACAAUAGUCAAUGCUCAACUCCACUAGAUUUGGCAUAGCAUCUGAAAUUUGGAUAGAACAGCUUUCAAAAGCAUUAUUUGUACUGCACAUAUGAAGGGAUAACUUUCGCAGAUUCUUCAAUAUGCAUAGGCAAGGGACUGAAACUUUCUCCAACCUUAUUCUUUUCAAGUUUGAUAAAGAACCAAGUAGCUCAAACUUGGUUAAUUCAGAACGACUGAAACCAUAAUUUGUGACUAUCAAAACUUUCAGUUUCCUCAUUUUCUUUGUGAAAUCCGGCAAUGAGUACUGGUCAGAUCGAAGAUUCAAAACCAGAACCUCAGCCUUGUCAGGUUGCAUAUCACACCAAUCCGAAGAAAAAAUUUCAUCUGAAAAAACACCAUAUAUGGAAAUAAGCUUAGGAUAUGGUGGAUGACACGAGAAUGAGUAUUUCAUAUCGCACCAUUUGUUCCAAAAUAAUUGUCAUUUAAGGAUUUAG